rnacentral:rRNA from 1 species
CUCUGUGACUCCUACGGGAGGCAGCAGUGGGGAAUAUUGCACAAUGGGCGCAAGCCUGAUGCAGCCAUGCCGCGUGUGUGAAGAAGGCCUUCGGGUUGUAAAGCACUUUCAGUCGUGAGGAAGGUAGUGUAGUUAAUAGCUGCAUUAUUUGACGUUAGCGACAGAAGAAGCACCGGCUAACUCCGUGCCAGCAGCCGCGGUAAUACGGAGGGUGCGAGCGUUAAUCGGAAUUACUGGGCGUAAAGCGCAUGCAGGUGGUUUGUUAAGUCAGAUGUGAAAGCCCGGGGCUCAACCUCGGAAUUGCAUUUGAAACUGGCAGACUAGAGUACUGUAGAGGGGGUAGAAUUUCAGGUGUAGCGGUGAAAUGCGUAGAGAUCUGAAGGAAUACCGGUGGCGAAGGCGGCCCCCUGGACAGAUACUGACACUCAGAUGCGAAAGCGUGGGGAGCAAACAGGAUUAGAUACCCUGGUAG